CGAACGCUGGCGGCAGGCUUAACACAUGCAAGUCGAACGCCCCCUUCGGGGGGAGUGGCAGACGGGUGAGUAACGCGUGGGAACCUACCUAUCAGUACGGAACAGCUCAGGGAAACUUGUGCUAAUACCGUAUACGUCCUUCGGGAGAAAGAUUUAUCGCCGAUAGAUGGGCCCGCGUUAGAUUAGCUAGUUGGUGAGGUAACGGCUCACCAAGGCGACGAUCUAUAGCUGGUCUGAGAGGAUGAUCAGCCACACUGGAACUGAGACACGGUCCAGACUCCUACGGGAGGCAGCAGUGGGGAAUAUUGGACAAUGGGCGCAAGCCUGAUCCAGCCAUGCCGCGUGAGUGAUGAAGGCCCUAGGGUUGUAAAGCUCUUUCAACGGUGAAGAUAAUGACGGUAGCCGUAGAAGAAGCCCCGGCUAACUUCGUGCCAGCAGCCGCGGUAAUACGAAGGGGGCGAGCGUUGUUCGGAAUCACUGGGCGUAAAGCGUACGUAGGCGGAUAGAUUAGUUA
rnacentral:rRNA from 1 species